rnacentral:lncRNA from 1 species
GGGUAAGGAUUUCUUUCCUACACACCUGCUUGGAGAGCAGCUCCAUAACAUAGAAAGAGCGUGGUGUGAUAUGCACCGCAGUGGCUGCUGCAUUUCGCAGCUCCUGGGGGCAGAGCCAGAGGCGAUGCACCUCAUCAGCUUGCUGCUAAACCACAGUGCCCAUGGGUCCACAUGCUCAUUGCCAUCCUCCUUGCUAUGGAGAGAGGUGAAUUUACUGUGUGCCUUUACCUGCUGCAGGUUAAUUCACAUCCAUCGCCCCACAGACUAAUUCAGCUCAGCACUGGAUGUGGAGAGGUUCUGUGCAAAGCUGAGGUCCCAGUCACACUGAGGGUGAUUUCAGCUGAUGUCCCCUUUAGCGAGGACACAGAGCAGGCUGGAAAGGGGCAGAGGUCUGAGCCACCACACAAGACAUGCCUGGCAGCUGUGAGCAAGCACAGGAGAAAUUGUGGUUCAGAAGGGAAGCCGAGAGCCCUGCGCUCACUGGCACUCAUCACAGGCAGGACACACGCUUAACAGCUCAACCGAGCCCUCUAACACCUGCUGAAGUGUUGAAUAUUAUUGCUAUUAAAAUAUAAUGGCCUCUUCCUGCCUCUCUUCCAUGGAGCUGGGUGAGGGCUAUGAUUAGGAAGCCAGCUCACGGAGGCACAACCCCACAGGCAGGGCAGGUGGGCAGGAUUAAAACCUUUCUGAAAGUGCCUUUCGCAGCCAAGGGCCAGCUCCAAAUGGACCAUAACUACCGGUUAGACAAUAACCAAGAUUUCCAGGAAGUUUUCUGAAUAAAGCAUUUGCUAAUUUAGGUUUGGGGAGGGCUUUUUGGUUUGGGUUGGAUUUUACCUUUUUUGAGAGAGAGAGAGAAAAAAAUCCCCACCAGUCAGCCCAUGUUAUCUGUAUUCCAUUUUCAUCCUUUCCACCUCCAUCCCAUCCCUGCUCUGCUCAUGCAGGCAAAGGUGGCACAGGCAGUGUGCAACAUGGCUGUGCCAUGGGGUCCAGGAGGGGACGGGAUGGGGGUCAGCAGCCUGGGGGUCCCUUUUGCCCCCCUUUUGUCAAUGCGGUAGGACACCAAAGCCAUCCUGCCCACAGGGUUUCACACAGGGGGUUGGAGGACCCCAUGGCUGUUUACUUGCUACAGAGGUGGUUCCCAUGUUCUCUAUUUUUCAGGAUUUUUAACCAACAGUGGUCAUCAGCAUUUCUAAUUUCAAUCUAAUAAACAUGGGAAAAGACCAUCUAAAA